UACGUAGGGGGCAAGCGUUGUCCGGAUUUAUUGGGCGUAAAGAGCGUGUAGGCGGCCAGACAGGUCAGCUGUGAAAACUCGAGGCUCAACCUCGAGACGUCGGUUGAAACCGUCUGGCUAGAGUCCGGAAGAGGAGAGUGGAGUUCCCGGUGUAGCGGUGAAAUGCGCAGAUAUCGGGAAGAACACCCGUGGCGAAGGCGGCUCUCUGGGACGGUACUGACGCUGAGACGCGAAAGCGUGGGGAGCGAACAGG
rnacentral:rRNA from 1 species